UAGGCAGAAGCCCGCGGGAUUGGGCACUUAGCUGUUAACUAAGGAUUCAUGGGAUCGAGGCCCAUCUGUCUAG
rnacentral:tRNA from 1 species